AACGAACGCUGGCGGCAUGCCUAACACAUGCAAGUCGAACGAGACCUUCGGGUCUAGUGGCGCACGGGUGCGUAACGCGUGGGAACCUGCCCUUAGGUUCGGAAUAACUCCCCGAAAGGGGUGCUAAUACCGGAUAAUGUCUUCGGACCAAAGAUUUAUCGCCCUUGGAUGGGCCCGCGUUGGAUUAGCUAGUUGGUAGGGUAAAAGCCUACCAAGGCGACGAUCCAUAGCUGGUCUGAGAGGAUGAUCAGCCACACUGGGACUGAGACACGGCCCAGACUCUUACGGGAGGCAGCAGUGGGGAAUAUUGGAAAAUGGGCGAAAGCCUGAUCCAGCAAGGCCGGGUGAGUGAUGAAGGCCUUAGGGUUGUAAAGCUCUUUUACCCGGGAUGAUAAUGACAGUACCGGGAGAAUAAGCACCGGCUAACUCCGUG
rnacentral:rRNA from 1 species